rnacentral:rRNA from 1 species
GAUGAACGCUAGCGGGGGGCCUAACACAUGCAAGCCGAGCGGUAUUUGUUCUUCGGAACAGAGAGAGCGGCGCACGGGUGCGGAACACGUGUGCAACCUGCCUUUAUCUGGGGGAUAGCCUUUCGAAAGGAAGAUUAAUACCCCAUAAUAUAUUGAGUGGCAUCAUUUGAUAUUGAAAACUCCGGUGGAUAGAGAUGGGCACGCGCAAGAUUAGAUAGUUGGUGAGGUAACGGCUCACCAAGUCAAUGAUCUUUAGGGGGCCUGAGAGGGUGAUCCCCCACACUGGUACUGAGACACGGACCAGACUCCUACGGGAGGCAGCAGUGAGGAAUAUUGGACAAUGGGUUAGCGCCUGAUCCAGCCAUCCCGCGUGAAGGACGACGGCCCUAUGGGUUGUAAACUUCUUUUGUAUAGGGAUAAACCUACUCUCGUGAGAGUAGCCGAAGGUACUAUACGAAUAAGCACCGGCUAACUCCGUG